rnacentral:rRNA from 1 species
UGAAUACGAGAUGCUACGGCAUCGAAGCAGUCUAUGUCAUACUUCCAAGAAAAGCUUGCACUGUCAUAAACAAAUAAUGCCUGUACCAUAACCGACACAGGUGGGUAGGUAGAGUAUACUAAGGGGCGCGAGAUAACUCUCUCUAAGGAACUCGGCAAAAUGACUCCGUAACUUCGGGAGAAGGAGUGCCUUAUUUUAUAAGGUUGCAAUAACAAGAUCCAAGCAACUGUUUACCAAAAACACAGGUCUCCGCUAAGUCGUAAGACGAUGUAUGGGGGCUGACGCCUGCCCAGUGCCAGAAGGUUAAAGAAGUUGGUUAGCAUUAGCGAAGCUGAUAACUGAAGCCCUGGUGAACGGCGGCCGUAACUAUAACGGUCCUAAGGUAGCGAAAUUCCUUGUCGGGUAAGUUCCGACCCGCACGAAAGGCGUAAUGAUUUGGAUACAGUCUCGGAGAGGGGCUCGGUGAAGUAGACUUGUCUGUGAAGAUGCGGACUACCUGCACCAGGACAGAAAGACCCUAUGAAGCUUUACUGUAACUUGAGAUUGAAAUUGGACUUUAUUUGCGCAGUAUAGGUGGGAGACGUUGAAAAUAUUCUUGCGGGAAUAUUGGAGUCAUCAGUGAGAUACCACUCUUAUAAUGUUAGAUUUCUAACUUUGUAUCAUUAUCUGGUCAAAGAACAGUCUCAGGCGGGCAGUUUGACUGGGGCGGUCGCCUCCCAAACGGUAACGGAGGCGCACAAAGGUUUCCUCUGAACGUGUAGAAAUCGUAUCUAGAGUGUAAAGGCAUAAGGAAGCUUGACUGUCAGACCUACAAGUCGAGCAGGGACGAAAGUCGGUCUUAGUGAUCUGACGGUGCUGAGUGGAAAGGCCGUCACUCAACGGAUAAAAGUUACUCUAAGGAUAACAGGCUGAUCUCCCCCAAGAGUUCACAUCGACGGGGAGGUUUGGCACCUCGAUGUCGGCUCAUCGCAUCCUGGGGCGGUAGUACGUCCCAAGGGUUGGGCUGUUCGCCCAUGAAAGCGGUACGCGAGCUGGGUUCAGAACGUCGUGAGACAGUUCGGUCCAUAUCCGGUGUAGGCGUUAGAAUAUUGAGAGGAGCCUUCUUUAGUACGAGAGGACCGAGAAGGACAUACCUCUGGUGUACCAGUUAUCGUGCCAACGGUAAACGCUGGGUAGCUAUGUAUGGAGAGGAUAACCGCUGAAAGCAUCUAAGUGGGAAGCCCACCUCAAGAUAAGUAUUCUC